rnacentral:tRNA from 1 species
GCCGGGAUAGCUCAGUUGGUAGAGCAGUUGCUUCGUAAGCAAUUGGUCGGAGGUUCGAGUCCUCUUUCCGGCACCA